UACGUAGGGGGGCAAGCGUUGUCCGGAUUUAUUGGGCGUAAAGAGCGUGUAGGCGGCUUGACAAGUCCGCUGUGAAAACUCGAGGCUCAACCUCGAGACGUCGGUGGAAACUGUCUCGCUAGAGUCCGGAAGAGGAGAGUGGAAUUCCUGGUGUAGCGGUGAAAUGCGCAGAUAUCAGGAAGAACACCCGUGGCUAAGGCGGCUCUCUAGUACGGUACUGACGCUGAGACGCGAAAGCGUGGGGAGCGAACAGG
rnacentral:rRNA from 1 species